UACGGAAGGCAGCAGUGGGGAAUAUUGCACAAUGGGCGAAAGCCUGAUGCAGCUAUGCCGCGUGUAUGAAGAAGGCCUUAGGGUUGUAAAGUACUUUCAUCGGGGAGGAAAAAACAAAACUAAUAAUUUUAUUUCUUGACGUUACCCGAAAAAGAAGCACCGGCUAACUCCGUGCCAGCAGCCGCGGUAAUACGGAGGGUGCUAGCGUUAAUCAGAAUUACUGGGCGUAAAGAGCACGUAGGUGGUUUUUUAAAGUCAGAUGUGAAAUCCCUGGGCUUAACCUAGGAACUGCAUUUUGAAACUGAAAUACUAGAGUAUCGUAGAGGGAGGUAGAAUUCUAGGUGUAGCGGUGAAAUGCGUAGAUAUCUGGAGGAAUACCUGUGGCGAAAGCGGCCUCCUAAACGAAUACUGACACUGAGGUGCGAAAGCGUGGGGAGCAAACAGGGAUUAGAUACC
rnacentral:rRNA from 1 species